UCUAGCAUGGCAUAGUGGUUUGAGUGUUGGACUGUAACUCUGGAGACCAGGGUUCGAUUCCCAGCUCAGGCA
rnacentral:tRNA from 1 species